rnacentral:rRNA from 1 species
AGGGGCCCAAGUUGACAGACUCCGGCAUAAAAAGUGGCUAAUACAGCACCCGACUAAAGUCAAACACCUUCAAAGCUGUUAUACGCUCUCGAAGACAGGAAGCCCUUCCACGAAAGUGACUUUAAGUACUAUUAAUCCACGAAAGCUAGGAAACAAACUGGGAUUAGAUACCCUACUAUGCCUAGCCUUAAACACAAGCAAUAAAAUACAUCUUUGCUUGCCAGGGGACUACGAGCCCCAGCUUAAAACCCAAAGGACUUGGCGGUGCUUUAGACCCACCUAGAGGAGCCUGUUCUAGAACCGAUAACCCCCGUUAAACCUCACCUUCUCUUGUUUUCCCCGCCUAUAUACCGCCGUCGUCAGCUUACCCUAUGAAGGCUUAAUAGUGAGCACAACUGGUAAAACCCAAAACGCCAGGUCGAGGUGUAGCGCACGAGGAGGGAAGAAAUGGGCUACAUUCACUGACCCAGUGAACACGGACAAUGCCUUGAAACAGACAUUCAAAGGAGGAUUUAGCAGUAAGGAGAGAAAAGAGUGCCCUCCUGAAACUGGCCCUGAAGCGCGCACACACCGCCCGUCACUCUCCCCAAAUAAAACACACACAUAAAUAAAUAACAAACAAAACAAAGGGGAGGCAAGUCGUAACAUGGUAAGUGUACCGGAAGGUGCACUUGGAAAAAUCAGAACGUAGCUAAAA